rnacentral:rRNA from 1 species
UACAGAGGUCUCAAGCGUUGUUCGGAUUCAUUGGGCGUAAAGGGUGCGUAGGCGGUCCUAUAAGUCAGUGCUGAAAUAUCCCGGCUUAACCGGGAGGGUGGCAUUGAUACUGUAGGACUUGAGUAAAGUUGAGGUUGGCGGAAUUGACGGUGUAGCGGUGAAAUGCUUAGAUAUCGUCAAGAACACCUAUUGCGAAGGCAGCUAACUAAGCUUUAACUGACGCUGAGGCACGAAAGUGUGGGGAUCAAACAGG